rnacentral:misc_RNA from 1 species
CUAAAGCAUAAUACAAAUUUUCUCGAAUAUAAUUAAGGAGCAUUAAUACUUUAGUAAAAGAAGUAAAAUGGGACCAUUUUAAUGUUUAGAACUUCAUAAUACCAAUCAAACACAGACAAGGUUCAGAAUAGAGCUGGGCCAGCAAAAGGCUCUCAAACUUCUGCUAACAGAAUCUCAACUCCAAAAUUGCUGAAAAAGAGAAACAUUUAAACCACUUCGAACUUCACAGAUAGAUUGGGUUGUAGAAGGGCACUCCUUCAAAAGGCAUAUCCACACAAGUCCAUUUUGCAGAUUGUUGAACAUGAAACUGAUAAAUAAAACUACUAAUAGACUACAGACUAUUGCAUUUGGCCAGGUCUAUAAGGUGGUGGCAUUGCAGCACCCUGUGGUAGGCGGCUAGGGCCUGCCAUCGACAUCAUUCCAGGUCCCAUUUGGGGUGGCAUAGCGCCAGGCGGCAAGUAAGGCUGAUUACUCAUCUGUGCUAGCAUAGAAUGGGGCGCUGCUAGUACUCCUGCAGCCCAUCCAGCUGAAGGUUGAGGCAUUGCUGGAUGCUCUGUAGGUGGAGCAAACUGAGUUCCACUGUAUGGAUGAGCAGGGGGACCAAUUGUAGAAACAGGCUGAUGCCCAAGAAUAGAAGGCUGAGGGUUCAACAUGGCAGUAUUAGGGAUUGUAUAGUCUCUACUCCGAUCGUUAUUAACCUUUAUACUAAGAUCAUGAUGGCGAGAAUAUGAGAUGUGAAGUUUGCAAAACCCUCCAUCAUAGAUGCAGUGUCCUUCCAAUGCUUCUUUGGCUAGAACAGCUGUCUGAACAUCUGCAAUUCAGGUAACCAUCAAUACCUCAAUCUACACGCAAUAGAUAUAAAGAAUCUGAAAUCCAUCUUCCUUCAGGCAGACAAUCAAUUAAUAAGCUUACAUUCCAAGUACAAAGAACUCCAAAGUCCAAACAUUCAUGGAAAUGUUAAGAUGUAUUAGGAUUGCUUUGCUUUGAGCUUUGACUAGCAAAGAAAGACUGUCAUUUGUGCUUGCUUAGCUAGAAUAAUUAAUUAGAUGCUAAAAGUUAGUUUCUAAUGCUUGCAAGUUGUUAGUCAUUCUGUUAUUGAUUCCAAGAAUCUAGCUGGCCAAGUCAGUGUAAGAACAGUGUUUGAGCUAUAUUUAUUGAAACAAGUAAUUGAAUACAAUAAAUAACAUCCAAAAUCUCCUCUCUCUCUCCAAUUUCCCUAGUCUCUUAUUUUUCCCAUUUAACAGAGUCUUCAGUGAGGAGUUGUACUGCAGAAUUGAUUUAUGCAAUCCAAAUGAGUGGAAGCUAACAGGAAAAAUAGUAAUUCUGAGCUAUAACUACAACAAAAAAGUAAAGGAAGACAAAUAUAAGAUUAUUUCCUUUCCCCCUGGAUGGCUUGCAGCUGGGUGAUGGGUCGAUAGCAUUUGGAUUUUUCUUCCUUUAACUCAUGGCAGAGUUAGAGCCCAAAAUGAGUAUUAAGAAAAAUAGCUUUUCCCUAAUUUGUCCAAACAUCAUAUGCAUAUUAGGAAAACAAUGUAGAGAUCCUGAAAGUGAAAUCCUUCCCUGGAAAAAGAUUCUUUUUUUUUUUUUCAGAUUGAGAAAGCUUUAUCUUGACAAACCCAGCUGCCAAAACCAUGCCUUAAACAAAUACUGAAAUGCAAGUCUGGAGCUAAUUUUAAACACUACUCGAUAUUGGCUACCAAAUUGGCCACUUCCUAGUCCUCUAACAUGUGUGGAACUAAUUUUAAACACUAAUCGAUACUGGCUAAAAAUGGACCACCUUCCUGAAUACUUUUUUAACAACAAAAGCUAUGAUAUCCAUCAACACAGAAUUUAAGUUUAAAUAAUACCAGGGUAUUGAAUCAAAGCCUGAAGUCCACCAUUCUUGUCAAACAUUGCAAUCUUCUGCACGGGUCCAAAAGCAGAGAAAACCAUGUGUAAAACAUCCAAGGUGACAGCAUAUUGCAUGUUCUCAAUUGAUGCCAGUAGAACAUUACUCUCAGGUUCUAGUUUUUUUCCAUCAAGGCCCACACUGAACAGACCACCUCCAUCUAUAGCUGAUGGUGCAACAGGCAGGUUUGGAUUAGUGUAGUCCCUGUAUCAAAAAAAUGAGGGGUUGCCAAAAAUUACAAAAACAGUGAUGACCAACAGAGAGAUCAAGGUGAUCCAGCAAAUGAAAGGAGACAAAUGACAGAUGAAAGUCCAGUAUAGAGGGUGAACAUAACCACAAAAAGCAUCAGACCUACUAGAGAAAGAGAAACACAUCUGUAAAAACUAAAAACAGUAACCCCAUUGCACAUGAUACAUGGAACGCAUAAAAGACCUCAGGCUGCUGAAAGAACCAGACAUCAGGAAUACCUGCUCCGGUGGCUCUGAAAUUUUACACUCAAAUCUGUAUGAGCAGAGUAAUUGAUCCUAAGGGUACAUGGUCCAAUAUGCUCAGGAAACAGAUACCUAGGGAUGUUUCUUCCAUCCAGGGCAUUUUUUGCAGAAGAGGCAGUUUCUGCAUCAGAAAACUGAACCAAAGCCUGGAACCCAGCCGUUUUCUCAAAGGUAGUAAUCUUAUGCACAAACCCAAACGCAGAAAACACCUGCAUCAUCAAAUUUUUUUAAAGAGAUAAACUGGCAUGGAUAUCAUACAACCCAAGAAGAAAGAAAAAUCAACAAUUUGUCUUAUUGUGAAAACAAGAAGAUGUAGGACUAUCCAUACAAAGCUUUGCAUAAAAGCCACAAAUCUAAAAAUAAGUUAUUAAUAACUAGAAAUGUAACAAGAUUAAGAGACAUGAUCAACUAAACAUCUCUGGCCUCUAUGGAAUUUUCAUAAUUGCCAAGGAGAGACUAAAUACAUCCUCCAGGCUGCACUGCCACUACAAUCAAGUUCUUAAAUGAAGAACAAUAAUUACUAAAGUAUUACUAGUUAAUCGUUAAUCCGUAAAACCUAGUGUGUUCACCAACAGAACAGCUGGUGGUCGGUGCCACUUAAGCUGCAUCAAGCUUUUGCAGACUUAGUUAUUCUCUUGACUUCAAAAUAGCCAAACUAAUAUCCUGAUAAGGAUCAAGGAGCCCUCAUAUUUUCAUACAUAUCUAAAUGCAUUAACUUGGAAGAUAAAAGAAAAAUAUUAGUGGCUGAACUAAGAUUCUUUGUCCAAUAAAAUGGAAGUCAUGUUUUUAUCUUUCAUUCAAUGCAAAUAAAUCUAUUCAGUAAAGCUUGCACCAAACGAUGCAAAGACCUUGCUUAUCAAAAAUGGUUUUGACAAUAGUCACAUUGAUCAAGUCAUGGUAUAACAUAAAACAGAAGAACACUAAUACAGGGCAUAGCAACUGCAUCCAGAACAAAUACCCUACAGUAUGAACAUCAUUUAGAAUUACAGGUGGAGGGGUGCAAAGAGAAAAGAAAUGAAAAGAAUCCUUAACUAUUACGGUGGUAGGAAUAGGGAGUUGAAGAGGAGGAGUAGGGAAGAAAGAGGCAGUGUUAAGGAAAGGAGAAAGAAGACAAACACACAUGUGCUCUUUCUCCCAAUGCAUUAAGCUGCCAUCGAAGAUAUUCCUUUGACAUGGGCCUGCUGAUCCAUUUACAUUCAUGUCAAAUGAUGCUUUCCAAAGCAAGACAAACUACACCCAGGUGCAAAACAUCAAUGCUGACAAGGCGUGCAUCUGCACCUUCAAUGGUUACCAACAAAACGUUUCCAGCAACAUCAGCUGUUGUCUUGUUGUUGACUAUCUCUUGCCUAUUAGAAUACUGCAGGUAAACUGUCUUCCCCCGUACCUGAGCAGGCUCUGAUGACGAAGCAUAAUAUGAUAUCAUUGCAAUAGCCUGAUUUAAAUCAGCAAAUUCUAUAAAAGCUUGAUUUCGGUUCGCUCCAACAUUGCACUUUGUGUUGACAACUUUACCAAAGGGCUUCCCAAGCUCAAUCAAUUCCUCCUCAGUACACUCCCAUGGCAAGUUUCUCAAGUGCAGCACCUUAGAUGGGGUUUGGGUGAGACGGAACUGUGGCUGACUGGAUACAGAUGCCAUUCCGCACAACCCCAGUCUACAGGACAAAUUAUGUAGCCCCUCAAACUACUGCAACACAAAAUCCCAUUUUUCAAAGUAACACCAUACAGACUGUUUUAAAACAUUAACCAGCUCAAUAAAAAAAAUUAAAAAUUAAAAUAAAUUUAUAAGCAAUAGAACCCAAAGAAAAAUAAUUAAAACAUUAAAAUUACAUUGGCUCCAAUGAGUUCAACUUCUCCCUGAUAAUUUACAGAACAAAAAUAAAAUAUAAAGAAUCUACUUGGCUAGCCAAACAGAAUCAAUACGCAAUACAUAAAACAAGCCUAAAAUUAUUUCUAAAACAACAAAUACCCGUGAUUCAAACAGGUAUACGAUGAGUGUAUUUCAAUUAAAAGGUAAAUCAAUACAAGGGAGUAUGAAAAUCUCAGCUUAUAUCGCGUGUAUGUUGCAAGAACAAAAGCAAGUUAGGGCAAACAAGAAGAAGUUAGAAUUAAAACAUAAGAAAUCCAAUACCUGAGGGAUUCAGGGAAAGCUGAAUCGUUGAUGUGCGAUAAGGUUGAAAUUAGGGUUCGAAAAUGGAAUAAAGACAAAUAGAACAAAAGAGGACUUUAUGGAUUUCCUCCAAUCACGGCUUAGGAACGAAAUCUUUUGGUGUAUUUAGUACCUGCAAAGAGCACUGAGCAGCACAAGGGCCAAAGGCGUCGCCCCGUCAGUAACAACGGGAUGG